GCGCAGCAGUCGAGAAAACUCCGCAAUGCUCGAAAGAGUGACGGGGGGAUUCCAAGUGCCUACGCUUAGCGUAGGCUGUUCAGAUGCCUAAAAAGCAAUCUGGAGUAAGGGCUGGGUAAGACGGGUGCCAUCUGCAGUGGUAAUGAAAAAACUUGCUACUGCAAGGCGUAAGCCGCCGCGGUAAUACCCGCAGCCCGAGUGGUAGU
rnacentral:rRNA from 1 species